rnacentral:piRNA from 1 species
UAAGGCUGAUUCGACCUGGCUGGGC